rnacentral:rRNA from 1 species
UGAACGCUGGCGGCAGGCCUAACACAUGCAAGUCGAGCGGAUGACAGGAGCUUGCUCCUGAAUUCAGCGGCGGACGGGUGAGUAAUGCCUAGGAAUCUGCCUGGUAGUGGGGGACAACGUUUCGAAAGGAACGCUAAUACCGCAUACGUCCUACGGGAGAAAGCAGGGGACCUUCGGGCCUUGCGCUAUCAGAUGAGCCUAGGUCGGAUUAGCUAGUUGGUGAGGUAAUGGCUCACCAAGGCGACGAUCCGUAACUGGUCUGAGAGGAUGAUCAGUCACACUGGAACUGAGACACGGUCCAGACUCCUACGGGAGGCAGCAGUGGGGAAUAUUGGACAAUAGGCGAAAGCCUGAUCCAGCCAUGCCGCGUGUGUGAAGAAGGUCUUCGGAUUGUAAAGCACUUUAAGUUGGGAGGAAGGGCAUUAACCUAAUACGUUAGUGUUUUGACGUUACCGACAGAAUAAGCACCGGCUAACUCUGUGCC